rnacentral:rRNA from 1 species
UUGUGCUUGCACAGAUGACGACCGGCGCACGGGUGCGUAACGCGUAUAGAACCUACCUUUUACAGAGGAAUAGCCUUUAGAAAUGAAGAUUAAUGCCUCAUAGUAUUGUAGACUGGCAUCAGUUUAUAAUUAAAGAUUUAUCGGUAAAAGAUGGCUAUGCGUCCUAUUAGUUAGUUGGUAAGGUAACGGCUUACCAAGACAGCGAUAGGUAGGGGUCCUGAGAGGGAGAUCCCCCACACUGGUACUGAGACACGGACCAGACUCCUACGGGAGGCAGCAGUGAGGAAUAUUGGACAAUGGAGGCAACUCUGAUCCAGCCAUGCCGCGUGCAGGAAGACUGCCCUAUGGGUUGUAAACUGCUUUUAUACAGGAAGAAACACCUCUACGUGUAGAGGCUUGACGGUACUGUAAGAAUAAGGAUCGGCUAACUCCGUGCCAGCAGCCGCGGUAAUACGGAGGAUCCAAGCGUUAUCCGGAAUCAUUGGGUUUAAAGGGUCCGUAGGUGGAUAAUUAAGUCAGAGGUGAAAUCUUGCAGCUCA